rnacentral:misc_RNA from 1 species
UUAAGCUUGGCACAUUUUCUCUACAUUGUAUUAAAGCUUAUCUUGUUUCAAUGUUGGGCCACCCACAAAUGUCCAUACUUGCAAAUUUUAUAUUCUAGGUAUUUAUGCGUGAAUGUGAGAGGGUGUAUUAUGCCACAUUGAUUUGGAUUAAGGAAUUUGUGUUUAAUAUAAGACUUAGGCAAGUCUCCUCCCCUUGAGUUAGCUUUUGGGG